UAAAGUUAAUUGCUGUUUAACUUCAUCCGAAAUAUCUCCAAUUCUGAUCCAAUCCCAGCUAACAUUGAGGUUCACGUAAUCACUAACACAAUGCGAGUCAUCUAAUUCAGUUGUUAGUCGGUUACAUCUUGUCUUGAAAGAUUGACUACCCAGCCACUUAUCACACCAAAGAAAUUCGGUUCCCAUUGAAAGCAAGUUUUCCGGAACCUUAAUCCACCAAACUCUUAACUCCAGAUAACGAAAGAAUCAUGUUUCUUCAUUGUUUGGAAAAAGAGUACACCUUUUGAGUUCUUAGCACGUAACAACCUAAACCAUAAACCGCUGUCUUCUUUUGUCAAUUUGCAGCUAAGCUUAGCUAGCAAAGCCUUAUCCAUAUCCAAGGUCUUUCGGAUGGGCGAACCCCAUCCCUUUAAGGACGAUGAAUUUUAACCUAUUUAAUCAAAGCCACUUUCCUAACCCCAUCAAAACCACCCCACAAGAAAUUUGUGUUCAGUGCAUCAAUUUCCUUAGCCACUGAUGCUAGGAGUUUUACCGCUUGCAUGGUAUAAUUGGCAAUAGUAUUGGUGACGGACCAAAUCAAAAUUGCUCUGCUUGCUAAAGACAGUUGCUUCACCUUCGAAGAACUUGGUCUGUUUUGUACUUUUUCCACAAAUCCUCUAUAAUUUUGUUUAGAAGUCAGUGAUGAGUUUUCCGGAAAUCCAAGAUAAGUUCCAAAAUCGGAACAGUGCUGUAGUCCAGUAAUAGAGCCAAAGUCGACUACAAACGUUUUGAAACAUUUGAUGAUGUAAAGAAUUUUAAUUUCCCAAAUUUCAUUUCUGUUUCAUCAUUUGAAGUAAUUACAUAGAGCUCUUGCUCGUUCAGGCACGAAAAUUGGCCGCAUAGAGGAUGUUACCCCCAUUCCCACUGACAGUAACCGUAGAAAGGGUGGCAGACGCGGAAGAAGCCCGUGAUUCUUUGCUUCAUUUCUAUUAACUCAGCUGCUGCUUGCUGUGCUUGGAGUUCUCUUUCUUGUUUAAACAAAUUUCUGUUUAGAUUCAAGGUUGUUGCCCUGUUCCUCUAGUUACACAUUUGUAGUUCCAGGAUGGAUUUUGAUCUUAAUUGACCGAGACAAAAGUUGUGCAACUCUUUAAUCCACCUUUGAAGAUAAGCUUGUAUUGUUCUUGGUUUUCCUUGAGGAGUUAUAUUGUGGUUAUGGCAGAUAAGAACUUCCCGCUUUUGUUUGACGGCUGUGGGAUUCCAGUCUUGAGAUAAAAUGCUUGCCCAUGUCAUAGUUUUUCAGCCCUUGAUGUUCCACUGAACUUAGGGGCAAUGGGCAUCAGUAUUAUUAGCAGCUUUAAUUUACUUUGUUGCUAAUGCCUCGUCCUUUAGUAUGAAUUUUUCUUGCCAUCGAUGUUGGUGAUGGAUUUCAUUGAAAGCAAUAGAUUUUAAUUUCCAAGCUAUAGAAUGUGAAUUUCGUUAAGCCUGAUUAACGAAUUAACAGGGUCAGGCUUAUUUCAAAUAAACAAAUGAAUAUUUAUAUUCUUUAUUCUGUCA